UGAGGGAAUAUUUGGGACAAUGGAGGCAACUCUGAUCCAGCCAUGCCGCGUGAAGGACUAAGGCCCUAUGGGCUGUAAACUUCUUUAGACGCAGAGCAAUAAGGGCCACGUGUGGUCCGAUGAGAGUAUGCGUAGAAUAAGCAUCGGCUAACUCCGUGCCAGCAGCCGCGGUAAUACGGGGGAUGCGAGCGUUAUCCGGAUUCAUUGGGUUAAAGGUGCGUAGGCGGCUUUGCAAGUCAGCGGUGAAAGGCCCGGGCUCAACCCGGAAAGUGCCGUUGAUACUGUGAGGCUGGAAUGCGGAUGCUGUGGGAGGAAUGAGUGGUGUAGCGGUGAAAUGCAUAGAUAUCACUCAGAACACCGAUUGC
rnacentral:rRNA from 1 species